rnacentral:lncRNA from 1 species
ACAAGUUUCUCUUCAUCACUUGAAGACGAGUGAUAAUCUCCUCCGGACCCAAGGAUGAAUGCCAAAGCCAUGCUGAUUGCUCUCGUGGCUUGCGCCUUAUUAGUAGCCAGCACCGAGGCGUGCGGUGGCGAAGGCCGCUCCGAAUCCGGUCGCUGCGGUGGCAGCGAAGGGCGCAGCGAGCAGGCAGCACCCGAGGCACGCCAGGAAAGCGAGGCUGCCCGCUGCGAUGGAUCUUCUGGUCGUUGCGAUGGCUAGUUUUGCCAUAAGAAACCUUAUCAACGUGCCUUCAUGGCCGUUUGCUGCAGAAAUUGUUGUUGGAGCAAGAGCGAUCUUGAUUAUGAGCGCUUGAAAAUAUUGUCAGACCUAAUAAAUGUGUUCAAGCUUGCCUA